rnacentral:lncRNA from 1 species
UAUCCAGGGUACAGGAGCUUCGCAGAAAAAUCUUCCGUCAUGGUGUACCCUGGACAACAUUCCUUGUUCCGGUACAAGGUGCUGUUUUUGGAAAGAAACUUUCUAAUUCGACUCCAAUUGAUUCUAAAGUCUAUAAAUAAGCUAUAGGGGUUCUCUAACACAUCAAGCAUCAUAAGAAUACAUGUUUGAGAAACCCUAGAGGCUCGGAUUUCAUCUUAAACCUAUUUUCUACAAAAAGCCUCUUUUAGAUCAAAUCGAGAUAUUGAAAUUUGAUAUUAAUAUGUCGAUUUGAUCUCCGCUUCGCUUGGAGUUCUAUUCCCUGGUUUUCUACGAUACUCCUAAGCGAAGGAUCACCAUAAUCAUGAUGCUCUUCAUGAACGGCGUCGUGGAUUCGGCGUGAACGAAGACGGUUCGUGGAUUCGGAUCGUGAGCUCGUGGAUUCGAGUGGGCGUCGUGGAUUCGACGUGAUCGAGGCUUCGUGGAUUCGAAGUGGUGACGUUUCGUGGAUUCGGGACGUGGCGUUCGUGGAUUCGGACGUCGGGCGUGGACAACCCGUUGGUGUGCACGAGAUCCGGAGAAGAUAGAAGAGAGGUUUGAGUCCGUGGAUUCGGUAAAUCACCUUGUAAUCUUUUAUUCUUAGUGGAUUGUUAUCGCGUGUUGGUCCCGUGGGUUUUUUACUCCGAGUUUGGAGUUUUCCCACGUAAAUCUCGGUGUGCUUUUUAUUUUCCGCAUUUAUUUUUAUUGCAUCGAGAUUUGUGGUUUUUUGGCCUUUCAC